rnacentral:lncRNA from 1 species
AUCAGUAACUUUUUGUUCUUUUUUUAACAAUUGUUAGCUUGCCCAAAAAUUGUUAAUUUUAAAUUUUUAAAAAUUGAUAUAAAAUGUUAAUUGGUAUCAAUAUUAUUAUUAGGUAUAAAUUUAUUAUUAAUAUAAUGUUAAUUAUAUGAUUUAUAUAUGUGUCAUCAUUAUAAUGUACUGCCAACAAAUAAUAAGAAAUGUAAUGGUCAAUCUCAAUCCAUGUGAAAAUGACGGAUGAAUCCAGAAUUUUUUUUUUGUUUUGUUCGCCCAAUUAAAUGCAAAAUCGACGGCAUGCUUCGAGCAAUCAUUCAAAACGAAAAAUAGAUUCGAUCGGUUAAGCAGAAAAUGAAAUUAAGCCCUCCCUAAAGCAGAGCAGAGAUGCAGCAGCAACGGCCGCACCACCACCAGUCGGGACGGAGCCGAGACGCAGCAGCAGCAGCACCAAUCAAUCCUCAACAGAGAUGCAGCAGUAUCAGUCGAUCCACCAUGGCCGAAGCAGAGCAGAGACGCACCACCACCACCACCACUAGUCGAGAUGGAGCUGAGACGCAAUAGUAGUAGCUGAUUUUGGUUGGAGAACUGUCACUGAGAGAACGAGAGCUAUGGAUGAGAGAGAUGAGAGAGAAAGAGAGCUGUGGAUGAGAGAGAUGAGAGAGAGAGGUGUAUUUUGAUCGGGUUUUGUUUUGCGAUUUAUUCUAAAAUUUGGUUCGUGAUUCACUGAGAACGUGUUAAACACGUUCUCAAUUUUAUAACUGUAAAUGGAAAUUUGAAUUAUUUGUUUUACAGUUUAUUUUUGAAUUCAGCGUACCAAACGGGUAUUACAUUUAAACUCCAAAAACGAAAAUGAAAAUAAGCCCUUGAAAAUGAUACCAAACGGGCCCUUAGUAAUUACAAGAAUGGCAUCAAAGUGGAGCUAUCCAGUCUUAACGAAUAUUAAAGAUUAUUACUCCAUAUUUUGCCAAGAAGUUUAGCUGACAAAAGAGUUUUUAUUCAAUAAAAAAAUGUCAAAAAACACUAAUUUAUUGCCGAAUCUAACUUUAGGGAAAGUAAUUUGAGAGUUGUAAAUUUGUUAAAAGAAAAUUUGUAAUUAUUGACCAAUGAUCUCUUUUGAAAAUGUUCUUGUUCCGUUUAAUUCUUUUUUUCCCUCUAUUUAUUCUUUUUUUCACUCUAUUUCAACAUGAGAGUCAAAUUUCCAUAACUCGAUCUGUGAGAUGAAACUUUUUUGUUUGCCAUAAUAAAUAAAGUUGGAAAUUUCUUAUAUUUAAUUUUCUACAAUAGUCCAAUGUUAUUUGCUUAUUUAUUUUAUUAAAAUUUAUAUGCAAUUUAACAAAUGAAUACGUGAUGAGCAAAGAUAAAAUCCUUUAACAGAAUGUUUUAUUCAUAAGCAUACUAAAGAUUAAUCACGUGAAAUUUGUGAUCAAUAUUUUUACUGCAAUCUCAAUCAUUUUUUUGGAUUUUGCUCAAUCUCUUACUUUUUUUUGUUUUUAAAAUAUUUUUACUUUUUUUUUUGUUUUUAAAGCAACAAGAACGAGAUGUCCAUAACUACCAUCUCUGACGAACGUGACCUCAUCCCGCCGCCGCAGGUGCCGAUUCCACCACCAAAAAUAAAAAAAAAAAACCUAUACAAGCGCUGGAAAAUUGUCAUAUUCUUUUGCAUACUAUGGCGUCGGCUACGAAGGCAUGCAAAGGAACCCAGCCGCCAAAACCAUUGAAGGCGAUCUCAAAGACCCAAUAAUCAAAGCCACACAACUCUCCGACAAAUCACCCAAAGGGAACUUAUAAGAAAAAGAAAGAUAAAAAAACAAAGGAAAAGGAAAAGAACGAAAAAGAAAACAGAAGAAAAGAAAAGAAAAGAAAGGAAAAGAAAGGAAAAGAAAGAACAAGAAAACAGAGGCAAAGAAAAAGAAAAAGAAAAAAAAAAGAACUAGGAAGUUCUGAGAAUAAAACAAAAAAAGGGGCCUUUAAAAGAGAAAGCAAAAACGGUACUUGUAAAUAUUGUUGUAUAACUUUGGAUUAUUUAUUACAAUCUAUUUUAUUGGUUAUUAUAUUACAAUUAUUGUAUUCUUUUAUAAUA